AUAGCUAGUCAUAAAUGUGAAUAUAGGGCAGAGCCAUUUUUAGAGAUGCAGAAUAUAUUUUAAAAAAAGUAAACUUGUGGCCAAUUCAUGUUGCUGUAUGGCAAAAACCAUCACAAUGUUGUAAAGUCACAAGCAUUCAUGGAGCAAAUCCUCCAUGUCAGACGCCAGGCUGAUCUUGGGCACCUACACAAGAGAAAUGUGGUUGUGACCCUACAGCCUAGAGGGAAAGAAAUAUAAGUUCCUUCCUUUCAGGGUAAAUAGCCAGAACUAAAUUGGAAUUCUAAUUGAGUGACCUGAGGCUGUGAGAACAAGGAAGGUUUGACCUCAGGACGGGUGGCAGUGACACAGCCCAGACUCUUCACAGGGUGUUGGACCUUCGUCUGGCCUGGACUAACUUCUAGCAGCAGGGCCUGUGAGGAGAAAGAACUUGAGGUGAGGCCUCUCCAGCCUUGGUCAAAGACCCAGCUGUGAGGUCAUGGAACACAGAGGAGAAGAAAUAAAGCCAAGGCAGGCAGCCCUCAGUGGAGGUCUGGCACUGGACAAAUGGUUCUAGUAUUUUCACCAUGAACUUCUUUGCCUUAAAUAACUUUGCUAUAUUUUUGCAGCAUCACUAAUUGACUAUAAGUCCAUUUUACUGUAAAAGACAAAACAAAAAAAAAAAAUUAAAGAAGAACAUGGAAAAAGACAUAACAAAAUGUGAGAAAUGAACAAAAUUUUAAGAGUUUUAUUGUGAAACACAAAAUAUUAGAAUACACUUGAAAUGUGUGGAAAUUCAAUAUCUCAUAUAUAACUGAUUUUAUUUUGUGGGUUUUAUCCAAACACUUGUCUUCCAAAUCUUUCAUUUAUAUUAUUUUAAACUUAUUGGUUUCUUUUUUUUUCUUUUUUUUUUUUUUGAGCCCUAUCCUGGUUCACUUUUUUUCUUUUUCACUAAAAUCCCCCCCUUCAUUAAGAGAGGUAUCACGUUCCAAACUCCAGGGUGCACAUUUGUAACUAAGUUUUGUGUGGCAUUGUGAGAGCCACUUCUCUGUUUGCUCUCAGCAUGCUGUCACUUGCCCAUUGACAGACGUUCCACAUUCUAUGGAAAAUGUGGGUGCAACUCUGCAGUUUCUAAGCCCUCAGUUUCAACCUGUUUCUCCUCCAACAUAGUGGGUUUCAAAAUAAGAAACCAACUUUUGGGGCAAAUUGCUGUCAUCAUCAUGACUUUUUUUUUUAUCAUGACUUUUGUAUAUUAUGUCAGAGCAAACUGUCAACCAGUCAUUUCAUCUUUUAUGGCAAAAUUGCCUCAUGGCCAGUUGUUAUGCUGCUAACAUGUUUGUGGCAAUAAUGCUUGUGCAAAGAUAUCUACAGCAGAGAUAUUUACAGCAAAAAUACUAAAUGUGAGCCAGAUCCAGAGCAUGCCCUGUGGCCACCAGAAUUUGUGCUGGAAGCAGUCAUCCUUCCCUCCUAGUAUGGAAGUUUCUAGAAAUCAGAGCUUGUAUCAAGCCUCCCCAUAAUCCAGGAGAAGAUUCAGAAACCAGUGUUAUAGAAAAGAUUUCUAAAGUAUUAAACUCUAAGGGGUCCAAUUCAUUCCCCAAACCUGUGAUCCUUUAAAUUACUGUAUUCUAUUUGUAAAACAAGA